rnacentral:tRNA from 1 species
GCCCUGGUAGCUAAGUCGCCACAGCCCCGGUCUUGUAAUCCGGUUACGGAGGUUCAAAUCCUCCCCAGUGCA